UUGAUGCGCUACAUUGGUUAUUCUGCUUACAAUUUUGUAAGUGUAGCUGGUCAAGCUGCAAUGCUUUACUCAUACUUUGGGUUGUUUGGAAUCCCGUUGGCUGAUCUUUGCUUGGGGAUCAUUGGGUUAAAUACAAUAUUUCAAAUCGGUUUGAGUUCAUAUCUAGCAGCUAAAUCAGUGGCUAAAGUAUGCAUAAUAUUUGAAACCAUACAAUCAGCAUAAUACGCUAGGUUUUAAUAUUUAUUUCAUCAACAGAUUGGCCCUUCUUAUUCUCAUUAUCACAGGAUUUAUCAAAACAAUUAUAAUAUUGGACCAAGACUCAAACUGAAGUUGCUUGCUAAUUUGGAUCGAUUGAGCAGCCCGUUCGUAGGUUUUUGGGUCGGGGAAUCAUUUUUGAAUGAUAAAUACUCGUUCAUUACGUAUCUAUGUGAAACCUGCUCCAAUAUGAUGCUCAUAAUUGUCACGCUGUCGAACUUCAUCUGGU